GAUGAACGCUGGCGGCGUGCUUAACACAUGCAAGUCGAACGAGAAGUGACGACGGACACCUUCGGGCGGAAGGCUUUAUUUCGAGUGGCGGACGGGUGAGUAACGCGUGGGUAACCUGCCUCCUACAGGGGGAUAACAGUUGGAAACGACUGCUAAUACCGAAUAAGACCACAGCACCGCAUGGUGCGGGGGUAAAAACUCCGGUGAUAUUAGAGGGACCCGCGUUCGAUUAGCCAGUCGGCGGGGUAACGGCGCACCAAAGUGACGAUCGAUAGCCGAGAUGAGAGGAAGACCGGCGACAUUGAGACUGAGACACGGCCCAGACUCUUACGGGAAGGGGCAGUGGGUAAUAUUGCAAAGUGGGGGGAACCCUGAUGCUGCGACGCCGGGUGAGUGAAGAAGGAUGUCGGUAUGGAAAGCUCUAUCAGCAGGGAAGAAAAUGACGGUACCAGAAGAAGAAGCCCCGGCUAACUACGUG
rnacentral:rRNA from 1 species